rnacentral:rRNA from 1 species
ACGCUGGCGGCGUGCUUAACACAUGCAAGUCGAGCGGUAAGGCCCUUCGGGGUACACGAGCGGCGAACGGGUGAGUAACACGUGAGCAACCUGCCCCUGACUCCGGGAUAAGCGGUGGAAACGCCGUCUAAUACCGGAUAUGACACACCAUCUCCUGGUGGUGUGUGGAAAGUUUUAUCGGUCAGGGAUGGGCUCGCGGCCUAUCAGCUUGUUGGUGGGGUAAAGGCCUACCAAGGCGAUUACGGGUAGCCGGCCUGAGAGGGCGACCGGCCACACUGGGACUGAGACACGGCCCAGACUCCUGCGGGAGGCAGCAGUGGGGAAUAUUGCACAAUGGGCGAAAGCCUGAUGCAGCGACGCCGCGUGGGGGAUGACGGCCUUCGGGUUGUAAACCUCUUUUACCACCAACGCAGGCCCCGGGUUCUCUCGGGGUUGACGGUAGGUGGGGAAUAAGGACCGGCUAACUACGUGCCAGCAGCCGCGGUAAUACGUAGGGUCCGAGCGUUGUCCGGAAUUAUUGGGCGUAAAGAGCUCGUAGGCGGCGUGUCGCGUCUGCUGUGAAAGACCGGGGCUUAACCCCGGUUCUGCAGUGGAUACGGG